GUAAGUGAGCGGCGCCUCGCGGGGAGGGAGAGAGGGCGGGAGGAAGGCGGAGGGAUAUUCGGUCCGGACCUCUCCCCGGCAGCACCGCGCUCCACAGCAAUUGGUUUCCGCCGUGGCCACACGGAAUCCCCAAUUGGCCAGUCGGCCGGCGUUGAAGGGGCGCCCUGUGCCCAUUCGCCCGCGGGUUUCAAGGACCCGGGUUGGCUAGGGCAGAGGAAUGGGGCGCGCAGAUUGGCCGAAGGGAGGGACGUUGGGGUGGGGCAGGUGAGAGCCGGCCGCUGAUUGGGUGAGCCUGGCAAGGGUCUUGGGCUCAGACGGGCUGAGCGCGAGGAGGGUGGUGGGCCGGAGGUAAAGCUCAGAGCUCUCGUGAUUGGCUGGGGUCCUGGACGUUGAUAGGUCAGGGCGCCGGGGAGGACUGAGGAGAGGAGUUCGGUCGGGGUCGGGGCGUGCAAAGGCAGAAGACGCCCCGCCGCUUUCGGAGUCUGGCGCGGGGCACGCCGGGACGCCCCGGGAAAGGGCGGAGCUGAGCGCCGGCUGCAGUCCGGACGGCAGCGUCACUGCGGGCGUGCGGAGCGAAGUUUCGCGGGCCUGCGCGGGAAGGGACCGUUAAAAUCUGGGGCCGCGCCCACCGGAAGCGACUGAAUGGCGAGGUCGCCUUGGUAACAGGCCUUUGGCUGGAAGGACCUUGAAGGCCACGUGAUUCGACUUACAGUGUGCGGUGGGAACUCUGACGCCCAGAGAGGACUCCCACUGGUGCAGUCUCUGGAAUGGAGGGUCCACUGCGUACACCCCCCCAUGGAUGUAAAAGUUCCACGGAAGACCUCAUUAUGAUGCUUCACAUCAUCCAGGAAACAGGAUCCUAAUACCUUGCAGAGAGAAGUUCAAGGCUUUUACUUCCUACCUAUGAAGCCUUUCACGACGCCGGCAAGAGCAUGUGGUGCACCAAAACAAGAAAAUGAGGCAAGAAAUAAAGACAUGUGCUCCAGGAAACAGGACAUUCAACACGGAUGAGAGAUGACAGUGGCUGCAGGCUGGGCUGCAGCCCAGUGGUAGAGCGCUUGCCUUGAGGGUGGGGACUUGGGUUCGAUCUCCAGUGCUGGGAAAAAAACCCUGAAAAAGAAACAACAUAAGCAUAGCAGACUCAACUGCUCAGCUGUGAAUAACAGGUACAGAGACAUAACUGUAGACAGAAUAAGCUGGUUCCCACCAACCCCAGCACAAAUGGCCUGUCCCCCUGUACCCCAAAUGACUGCUUUCCAGCUGCCUGGCAGCCUCUGUUCGAACUAUCCUGUCUUGCUGUUGGUUAAAUAGGACUUGAGUGAGUGAAAUCCAAUUAGUAAGUCAAUACAUUAAACAAAUUCAUUAAAUGUUGAAUUAAAAUGUCAAUAUAAGCCAUUCAUGGUGGGUGAUUGUGCAUGCCUGUAGUAAUAGCAGUUAACAGGGAAGUUGAGGCAGGAGGAUUACUUGAACUGAACGCACAAGUUUAAGUCCACCCUAGGCAGCAUAGCCAGACCCCGUUUUUUUUUUUUAAAGUUAGCACACACCUAUCUAUAAACCCUGGCCAAGUACUCUAGGAGGUUGAGGCAGAAGUAUUGCAUAUUCAAGCUUAGCCUUGGAAAAUAGCAGCUUAGCAAGAUUCUGUGUCAAAAUUUUUUUUUAAAGGGCUGGGGAUGUGACUCAGUGUGAAGGCCCUGGGUUCAAUCCCAAGUAUGGCUGAGUACAUACAAAUGCUAUACCUGCCAGAGCUGGGGAUGUAGCUCAGUGGUAGAACGCCCCUGGCUGUGAUCCCCAGUACUGCAAAAUAAAUUAAAAAAAAAAAAAAAAGAAAAGAAAAUUGAUCUCAGCAAUCAGCUAUGAACCAAACUAACCCCCUCUGCCACACACACAGUUUUUUUUUUUUAAAAAACUAAAUACCUG
rnacentral:lncRNA from 1 species